rnacentral:rRNA from 1 species
UACGUAGGGUGCGAGCGUUGUCCGGAAUUAUUGGGCGUAAAGAGCUCGUAGGCGGUUUGUCGCGUCGACUGUGAAAUCCCUCGGCUUAACCGGGGAACUGCGUCUGAUACUGGAUGGCUUGAGUGUGGGAGAGGGAUGCGGAAUUCCAGGUGUAGCGGUGAAAUGCGUAGAUAUCUGGAGGAACACCGGUGGCGAAGGCGGCAUCCUGGACCAUUACUGACGCUGAGUGAGCGAAAGCCAGGGGAGCAAACAGG